UUUCAUGGGGGUGUUAGAGUUGAGGAGGGUUUCAAGGUGGGAGAAAUAAGGUUUUCAAUGACACGAAGGAAAUCUGAAAAUUUUAGGUCGAACGCGAAUUCACUUAAGCAGUAUUUUAAAAUUGUUUAGCAUGUUUUACAACAGGACGGUACUCUUCAAAAUUAUAAUAGAGAUCUAUCCGUUCUCAAGUCCCUAAUUCGCGAACCAAUAGG
rnacentral:lncRNA from 1 species